rnacentral:rRNA from 1 species
AGAGUUUGAUCAUGGCUCAGAACGAACGCUGGCGGCAGGCUUAACACAUGCAAGUCGAACGCCCCGCAAGGGGAGUGGCAGACGGGUGAGUAACGCGUGGGAAUCUACCCAGUUCUACGGAACAACUGAGGGAAACUUCAGCUAAUACCGUAUACGCCCUACGGGGGAAAGAUUUAUCGGAAUUGGAUGAGCCCGCGUUGGAUUAGCUAGUUGGUGAGGUAACGGCUCACCAAGGCGACGAUCCAUAGCUGGUCUGAGAGGAUGAUCAGCCACACUGGGACUGAGACACGGCCCAGACUCCUACGGGAGGCAGCAGUGGGGAAUAUUGGACAAUGGGCGCAAGCCUGAUCCAGCCAUGCCGCGUGAGUGAUGAAGGCCUUAGGGUUGUAAAGCUCUUUCAGUGGGGACGAUAAUGACGGUACCCACAGAAGAAGCCCCGGCUAACUUCGUGCCAGCAGCCGCGGUAAUACGAAGGGGGCUAGCGUUGUUCGGAUUUACUGGGCGUAAAGCGCACGUAGGCGGAUCGUUAAGUCGGGGGUGAAAUCCUGGAGCUCAACUCCAGAACUGCCUUCGAUACUGGCGAUCUUGAGUCCGGAAGAGGUGAGUGGAACUCCUAGUGUAGAGGUGGAAUUCGUAGAUAUUAGGAAGAACACCAGUGGCGAAGGCGGCUCACUGGUCCGGUACUGACGCUGAGGUGCGAAAGCGUGGGGAGCAACCAGGAUUAGAUACCCUGGUAGUCCACGCCGUAAACUAUGAGAGCUAGCCGUUGGGAGAUUUAUCUCUCAGUGGCGCAGCUAACGCAUUAAGCUCUCCGCCUGGGGAGUACGGUCGCAAGAUUAAAACUUAAAGGAAUUGACGG